AUUGAACGCUGGCGGCUUGCUUAACACAUGCAAGUCGAGCGGUAGCACAGGGGAGCUUGCUCCCUGGGUGACGAGCGGCGGACGGGUGAGUAAUGUCUGGGAAACUGCCUGAUGGAGGGGGAUAACUACUGGAAACGGUAGCUAAUACCGCAUAACGUCGCAAGACCAAAGAGGGGGACCUUCGGGCCUCUUGCCAUCAGAUGUGCCCAGAUGGGAUUAGCUAGUAGGUGGGGUAAUGGCUCACCUAGGCGACGAUCCCUAGCUGGUCUGAGAGGAUGACCAGCCACACUGGAACUGAGACACGGUCCAGACUCCUACGGGAGGCAGCAGUGGGGAAUAUUGCACAAUGGGCGCAAGCCUGAUGCAGCCAUGCCGCGUGUGUGAAGAAGGCCUUCGGGCUGUAAAGCACUUUCAGCGAGGAGGAAGGUGGUGAACUUAAUACGUUCAUCAAUUGACGUUACUCGCAGAAGAAGCACCGGCUAACUCCGUGCCAGCAGCCGCGGUAAUACCGGAGGGUGCAAGCGUUAAUCGGAAUUACUGGGCGUAAAGCGCACGCAGGCGGUUUGUUAAGUCAGAUGUGAAAUCCCCGGGCUCAACCUGGGAACUGCAUUUGAAACUGGCAAGCUAGAGUCUCGUAGAGGGGGGUAGAAUUCCAGGUGUAGCGGUGAAAUGCGUAGAGAUCUGGAGGAAUACCGGUGGCGAAGGCGGCCCCCUGGACGAAGACUGACGCUCAGGUGCGAAAGCGUGGGGAGCAAACAGGAUUAGAUACCCUGGUAGUCCACGCUGUAAACGAUGUCGAUUUGGAGGUUGUGCCCUUGAGGCGUGGCUUCCGGAGCUAACGCGUUAAAUCGACCGCCUGGGGAGUACGGCCGCAAGGUUAAAACUCAAAUGAAUUGACGGGGGCCCGCACAAGCGGUGGAGCAUGUGGUUUAAUUCGAUGCAACGCGAAGAACCUUACCUACUCUUGACAUCCAGAGAACUUAGCAGAGAUGCUUUGGUGCCUUCGGGAACUCUGAGACAGGUGCUGCAUGGCUGUCGUCAGCUCGUGUUGUGAAAUGUUGGGUUAAGUCCCGCAACGAGCGCAACCCUUAUCCUUUGUUGCCAGCGGUUCGGCCGGGAACUCAAAGGAGACUGCCAGUGAUAAACUGGAGGAAGGUGGGGAUGACGUCAAGUCAUCAUGGCCCUUACGAGUAGGGCUACACACGUGCUACAAUGGCAUAUACAAAGAGAAGCGACCUCGCGAGAGCAAGCGGACCUCAUAAAGUAUGUCGUAGUCCGGAUUGGAGUCUGCAACUCGACUCCAUGAAGUCGGAAUCGCUAGUAAUCGUAGAUCAGAAUGCUACGGUGAAUACGUUCCCGGGCCA
rnacentral:rRNA from 1 species